GAAAUGCGAUAAGUAAUGCGAAUUGCAGAAUUCCGUGAGUCAUCGAAUCUUUGAACGCACAUUGCGCCCUUUGGUAUUCCGAAGGGCAUGCCUGUUCGAGCGUCAUUAUCAACCCUCAAGCUCGGCUUGCUGUUGGGUCCCACCGCUGAGACAUUCGGUGGACCCGAAAGAUAAUGGCAGAGCCCGUGGGGACGCUGGAUGCAACGAGCUUUUCAGCACGCGUCUGGACGUCCUCCGGCCCGGUCUUACCAAAUCUACUUCUCAGAUUGACCUCGGAUCAGGUAGGGAUACCCGCUGAACUUAA
rnacentral:misc_RNA from 1 species